rnacentral:sRNA from 1 species
ACUCAACAAGAAUUACUUUAAAAAGGGUGAGUUUAAGUUGUAAAAGCGCGCCGUCUUAGAACGGAUUCUUGACCAGCUUGUUAGCCCUAAACCUGUUUAUACAGAGUUU